rnacentral:rRNA from 1 species
AUUGAACGCUGGCGGCAGGCCUAACACAUGCAAGUCGAGCGGAGCGGCGGACGGGUGAGUAAUGCCUAGGAAUCUGCCUGGUAGUGGGGGAUAACGUCCGGAAACGGGCGCUAAUACCGCAUACUAUCAGAUGAGCCUAGGUCGGAGUAGCUAGUUGGUGGGGUAAAGGCCUAGCAAGGCAGCGCUCCGUAACUGGUCUGAGAGGAUGAUCCGUCAUGCUGGAACUGAGACACGGGCCAGACUCCUACGGGAGGCAGCGGUGGGGAAGAUUGGACAAUGGGCGAAAGCCUGAGCCAGCCAUGCCGCGUGAGUGAAGAAGGUCUUCGGAUUGUAAAGCUCUUUAAGUUGGGAGGCGUUACCAACAGAAUAAGCAACGGCUAACUUCGUGCCAGCAGCCGCGGUAAUUC